GACGAACGCUGGCGGCGUGCCUAACACAUGCAAGUCGAGCGACGAACCAGGGCUUUCCCUGGUGCAAAGCUACCAACGGGUGAGUAACUCAUAGGUAACCUACCCCGAUAACCGGCACAGCCCGAGGAAACUCGGGCUAGUACCUGCUGUGCACACUGGACUUCGGUUCAGUUCGUUAAUGAAGCUUCGGCCUCCGUAUCCUUAUGGGCGCGCGGCCCCUUAGUUUGGUGGUGAGGGAACGGCCCACUAAGCACGCGAUGGGUGGCUGGUCUGAGUGGACGAUCAGGCAAAAUGGGACUGAGACACGGCCCAGACGUCUACGGGAGGCAGCAGUGGGGAAUCUUGCGCAAUGGGGGAAAGGGUGACGCAGCAACGCCGCGGGGGGGAAGAAGGCCUUCGGGUUGUAAACCCCUUGUAGGAGGGACGAAGGUUCGGCGGUGAAUAGCCGUCCGGACUGACGGUACCUCCACAAGAAGCCCCGGCUAACUACGUG
rnacentral:rRNA from 1 species